rnacentral:tRNA from 1 species
GCCGGAGUAACUCAGGGGUAGAGUAGCUGAUUCGUAAUCAGCAAGCCGAGGGUUCAAAUCCCUCUUCCGGCUCCA